rnacentral:rRNA from 1 species
UACGUAGGGUGCGAGCGUUGUCCGGAAUUAUUGGGCGUAAAGGGCUCGUAGGCGGUCUGUCGCGUCGGGAGUGAAAACUCAGGGCUUAACCCUGAGCCUGCUUCCGAUACGGGCAGACUAGAGGUAUGCAGGGGAGAACGGAAUUCCUGGUGUAGCGGUGGAGUGCGCAGAUAUCAGGAGGAACACCGGUGGCGAAGGCGGUUCUCUGGGCAUUACCUGACGCUGAGGAGCGAAAGUGUGGGGAGCGAACAGG